rnacentral:rRNA from 1 species
UGGGGAAUAUUGCACAAUGGGCGAAAGCCUGAUGCAGCGACGCCGCGUGGAGGAAGAAGGUCUUCGGAUUGUAAACUCCUGUUGUUGAGGAAGAUAAUGACGGUACUCAACAAGGAAGUGACGGCUAACUACGUGCCAGCAGCCGCGGUAAAACGUAGGUCACAAGCGUUGUCCGGAAUUACUGGGUGUAAAGGGAGCGCAGGCGGGAGAACAAGUUGGAAGUGAAAUCCAUGGGCUCAACCCAUGAACUGCUUUCAAAACUGUUUUUCUUGAGUAGUGCAGAGGUAGGCGGAAUUCCCGGUGUAGCGGUGGAAUGCGUAGAUAUCGGGAGGAACACCAGUGGCGAAGGCGGCCUACUGGGCACCAACUGACGCUGAGGCUCGAAAGCAUGGGUAGCAAACAGGAUUAGAUACCCUGGUAGUCCAUGCCGUAAACGAUGAUUACUAGGUGUUGGAGGAUUGACCCCUUCAGUGCCGUAGUUAACACAAUAAGUAAUCCACCUGGGGAGUACGACCGCAAGGUUGAAACUCAAAGGAAUUGACGGGGGCCCGCACAAGCAGUGGAGUAUGUGGUUUAAUUCGAAGCAACGCGAAGAACCUUACCAGGUCUUGACAUCCGAUGCAUAGCACAGAGAUGUGUGAAAUCCUUCGGGACAUCGAGACAGGUGGUGCAUGGUUGUCGUCAGCUCGUGUCGUGAGAUGUUGGGUUAAGUCCCGCAACGAGCGCAACCCUUAUUGCCAGUUACUACGUUAAGAGGACUCUGGCGAGACUGCCGUUGACAAAACGGAGGAAGGUGGGGAUGACGUCAAAUCAUCAUGCCCUUUAUGACCUGGGCUACACACGUACUACAAUGGCGUUAAACAAAGAGAAGCAAGACCGCGAGGUGGAGCAAAACUCAAAAACAACGUCUCAGUUCAGAUUGCAGGCUGCAACUCGCCUGCAUGAAGUCGGAAUUGCUAGUAAUCGCGGAUCAGCAUGCCGCGGUGAAUACGUUCCC